rnacentral:piRNA from 1 species
UAAGAUAUGGAACCUGAAUCUGUAGCUAGA